GUUGUUGUGGUGUAGUGGUUAUCACGUCAGUCUUACACAGUAAAGGUCCCCAGUUCGAUCCUGGGCAACAACA
rnacentral:tRNA from 1 species